rnacentral:rRNA from 1 species
UNUGACUUGAGUGCAGAAGGGGAGAGUGGAAUUCCAUGUGUAGCGGUGAAAUGCGUAGAUAUAUGGAGGAACACCUGUGGCGAAAGCGGCUCUCUGNUCUGUCACUGACGCUGAGGCUCGAAAGCGUGGGUAGCGAACAGGAUUAGAUACCCUGGUAGUNCACGCCGUAAACGAUGAGUGCUAGGUGUUAGGCCCUUUCCGGGGCUUAGUGCCGGAGCUAACGCAAUAAGCACUCCGCCUGGGGAGUACGACCGCAAGGUUGAAACUCAAAGGAAUUGACGGGGGCCCGCACAAGCGGUGGAGCAUGUGGUUUAAUUCGAAGCAACGCGAAGAACCUUACCAGGUCUUGACAUCCCGAUGCUAUUCUUAGAGAUAGGAAGUUACUUCGGUACAUCGGAGACAGGUGGUGCAUGGUUGUCGUCAGCUCGUGUCGUGAGAUGUUGGGUUAAGUCCCGCAACGAGCGCAACCCUUAUUGUUAGUUGCCAUCAUUAAGUUGGGCACUCUAGCGAGACUGCCGGUAAUAAACCGGAGGAAGGUGGGGAUGACGUCAAAUCAUCAUGCCCCUUAUGACCUGGGCUACACACGUGCUACAAUGGUCGGUACAACGAGUUGCGAGCCGGUGACGGCAAGCUAAUCUCUGAAAGCCGAUCUCAGUUCGGAUUGGAGGCUGCAACUCGCCUCCAUGAAGUCGGAAUCGCUAGUAAUCGCGGAUCAGCACGCCGCGGUGAAUACGUUCCCGGGCUUUGUACACACCGCCCG